CUUUAUGUUAACAUGGAAAGAUGGCUCUUGCAAAAGGAAAUUUCUUUGACCUAUGCACAUGCACAAAGCAUUUUACACAUCAAACAUGCUUAUGUUGUCUAAUUCAUGGUUAGCAGGUGCAUAUACUUGAAUCUUGCUUUAGAGAACUCACUGGAUGUCUGUUUUUGCAGGGGAAUAGUCCUCAUGGCAUACUUGUCGCCAUAUUGGACAGAUUGGUGAUCAUCCGUACACAGAUUUACAGGUUAAAUGGCUGUCCAUUUC
rnacentral:lncRNA from 1 species